AUAGACUCUAUGACGAAGAGAGUACUGAUAGAAAACAUUUUUAGCGAGUUGGAACGGUGUAAGCCAACAAUGGAUGCUUUCAGGAACCGCACUUCGGAGAGAUUUAAGCUAUGAUCCUCGUUCAUGCAAUUUUAGUGAAUACUAGCUUAUUCGGUUUUGUUUGCCGUUAUCUAAAAACAAGUGGUUUCGUCAUUUGACAAACAACAAGAGUGGUACCGCGGGAAAACCUCGUCUCUUUU
rnacentral:ncRNA from 1 species